rnacentral:rRNA from 1 species
GAUGAACGCUGGCGGCGUGCCUAAUACAUGCAAGUCGAGCGAACAGACGAGGAGCUUGCUCCUCUGACGUUAGCGGCGGACGGGUGAGUAACACGUGGAUAACCUACCUAUAAGACUGGGAUAACUUCGGGAAACCGGAGCUAAUACCGGAUAACAUGUUGAACCGCAUGGUUUAACAGUGAAAGACGGUCUUGCUGUCACUUAUAGAUGGAUCCGCGCCGCAUUAGCUAGUUGGUAAGGUAACGGCUUACCAAGGCAACGAUGCGUAGCCGACCUGAGAGGGUGAUCGGCCACACUGGAACUGAGACACGGUCCAGACUCCUACGGGAGGCAGCAGUAGGGAAUAUUCCGCAAUGGGCGAAAGCCUGACGGAGCAACGCUGCGCGAGUGAAGAAGGUCUUCGGAUCGUAAAACUCUGUUAUUAGGGAAGAACAAAUGUGUAAGUAACUAUGCACGUCUUGACGGUACCUAAUCAGAAAGCCACGGCUAACUACGUG